rnacentral:lncRNA from 1 species
AAUGGGCUUGAAACAAGCCAGAAGCUUGGAAUAUUUGCUUAAUACUAACAAUUAAUGCUGGAAAAACUGGAAUGAGAAAGUAGUCUUUUGGGAUACCUGAAGCACAGUGUCUUAGUCUGAACACAAGAUAGCUCUUGCUCCUUCAACCAAUAUCUAUGUGGAGUAAGGAAAGGUUUCACCUGGAGGCAGGUGCUGGAGAGAACCUGGAGGGCUGUUGGAACUGGAGUUGGAGGUACAAUCACGUUUCAGAUGGAUUUCCUACGCCCAGUACUAUGUCUAGAAGUGAAGUUUCC